rnacentral:lncRNA from 1 species
AGCGCGGGGUGGGCGGGAUCGAGGGGAAAGGAGGCGCGAGACGGGGGUUAAGCGCCGCCCCCAAGUCCGCCCCUUAAAAGGGAGGCUUCGCGAGGAGAAGGCAAAGGAGCGGUGGUUGCUCCCUAAGGGAGGAAACGGCUUUUUUCGUCGCUGGCACGGGAGCUUUCAUUUCGCUCGUUCUACGUUUCGGGUGAGUUGUGUCUGAAGGGGAAACGACAAGGAACUUAUUUUUCUCUCAGUGUUAGAAACUGAAAUAUGAAAUGGCACCUUAAAACAGGCGCCAGAACGGAAUGUCUAGGCGCGCUUUUUUAAUAGCAAGAAUACAAAGCUGAAUAAGAUUUGAAAUAUUUGUGUAUUUUGUUGGUGUUGGUGUAUUUGAAAUGAAAACUUAAUAAAAAGCAUUUUAAAAAAAAGACUACAAAGCUGAAAAUGAACGAACUGCAGCUAAAAUAUUAUGUUCAUUUUCCACAGUGUCUAGUCCUUCCCCUGCCCUGCCCACCCCACUACUCAGAGAGUAGCUGGAAGUAGGGAGACAGAAAAGGUCCCCCUUUCCUUCCACUCAGCAGACAAUCCCUGGAUUCUCCCUACAUCCCCUUUCCUUCAUUAAAAAAUAUCAUUUUUGGCACCACAGUUAACACAUAUUAAAGACCUAUACAGCUGGUGGCAGUGUCCAGUUCGCAAACCUAAGACUUAAGGGUCCUUCAGUGAUCCCAAUUUAUUUAGAUUUUAAGCAUCCCUGUGAGAGUGAGGUAGAGAACACUUUAACAUGCACUACUUAAACCAUCAUAACUCACUGACUAGUAUAUUUCAGAUUAAAAGCACACCAUACAUUAAAAGUACAUUAAACAAGGCAACUAAAACCUAAAUGAAACAUGUUGGGUUGAAAAGCAAAAAUAAAGUUUUUCAGGUCCCCAAUCCAAGCACGUUUUACUUGGUAGGAAGCCCCAUUGAACUUGGUUGGAAUUUAUUUCUGAGUAACAGUGGCCAUUUUAAUCCUAUAUUUUAGGUGCAGUACUGGGCCCAGAGCUCAGAAACGGCUCACGAAAUUCCCUGUCGCAAAACGCGCCCAGAACAAUGGGAAUUUCGAACGCUGUGUGUGAUUGAGUUGAAUUAGAGGCACAUUAAGGUGUGUGCUUUGAGAAGGUAUGAGUUAAUAUUUAAUUAUCCCUUUUUUGUCCUUUCAGGCUGUGACGCUUGGUGGUUUAAAUGUUUGACAGUUUUCUUUAGUUCUUUUCAAUGCCUGCACAUAGUGCAUGUGACAUCACACACACUAUGUGCUGGUGUGUGCGUGUAACAUCACAGAUCUGCCUGGCAGCGGCGGGCACCCACAAUCCUGAGGGUGAGAUGGCACCCCUGAAAUACAGUAUAUAAAUGCAAUAAAAUAGAUGGAUAAUUGCUGGAAGAUUUCGCUGCACAUUAUUCAGCCAUUUACCCAUCUUGGUCCAUUAAAUAAAGCAUGGCUUUAGAAACUGAUCUUAGGCUGCAAUUCUAAAUGAAUUUACAAAGAAGUAAGCCUUACUCAACACAGAGGGACUUCUGAUAAAGCAUACAUAGGAUCACACCACAUAAUAGUUCUGUGUGCUUUGGGAGUCCACUAGAUGUCAGUAUAAUAAAACCUAUUUACUUAACACUUUUGCUGGGGUGGGGCAAGUUGCAUUUACACAAUGUUCCAGCACUAUGUGUCAGUUUCACCUGAAAUAAAGAGAUUAUCUGGAUUGCAGCAUCACAGUGGUCAAAACUUUUCCCCAAAGAUAGUAGUGAACAUCCAGAUUUUCUAGUUUAGUGAGCUAAGUAUGAGACAUGAUGUCAACAGACCCAUUAGGUAAAUUUGGUGCCCCCCACCUUGCCUUCUGCUCAAUUUACUAUGUCAGUGGUUUUCAACCAGUGUGCUGUGGCACCUUGGGGUGUCUUGAAUGAUAGUCAGGGGUGCUGCAGGCAACUCUGGCCUCUAUCCCUCUUUCCUUCCCUCCCUCCUCUGAUACCCUCUUGCAUGUCUGCGUACCAAAGACUUGCACAGCUGUUUGUUGCAGCAGCCCUGGCUACAAGUUCGCCAGGUGAAUGGUGCCUCUGGGGCUGACCAGGGGGUUCUUCCCAGGCCUCUUUGGGGCAGUGUGAGGAGGUACCUCUCUUUGGAGCGGGGGGGGGGGGGGGGCGGGCAGCUCAGAGACCAGUGGCUGCCCAGAGGAUUCCCAAGGAGAGGGGAGAGGAGUUAUACUUGGAAAGUCCUGCAGUGCCCCCUUGUGUUGGCGCCCAGUGCAGCGGAACGAGUUCCAUUGCAAAAAUCUGUCUCUGAUGGAAUGAAAGGCACUCACUUAGAUGAGGAAAGUUGAACAAAUAAAAGUUGGGCAAGGGGUAUAGGACACCUCACAUCUGCACACUUACUUUGCUCUAGAAAUGAGAGCCUCCCUUGGGACACGCCAAGGGUUAAAGCAUGUCUGCCACUGUAUAGCAAUCCAGUUUAGCAAUAUGUGCAUGGAAACAUGGCAGUUGUGGUAUGUAGAGCCAUAAGAGCCAUAAGCGUGGUGCACUUGUGCAUGCAUGCACACAUACAACCCCCCCUUUUUUAUUUUAUAAUUCUAAAGGCUUUAUGGCAGGAGUUGCUAACCUGUGGCCCUUCAGAUGUCAUUGGACUCCAACUCCCAUUGACACUGCUAUCUUGGCCUGAUGGGAGUUGAAGUCCAACAACAGUUCUAGUUACAGGUUGGUAGCCGUGUUGGUCUGCCGUAGUCGAAACAAAAUUAAAAAAAUCCUUCCAGUAGCUCCUUAGAGACCAACUAAGUUUGUUAUUGGUAUGAGCUUUAGUGUGCGUGCACACUUCUCCAGAUACACUGAAACAGAAGUCUAACAACAGCUCCCAACCAAAUAUGAAAAACACAAUACACAAUGACUUUUUACUGUUUCUGCUUCUGUGGGCUGUUAAUUUUUGCUGUUAUUGAUUUGAUUUAAUUUAUUCUCUGUUGCUUGAUUUUGUUGUAUUUUUAUAGUUGAGUUUUAUUUUAACAUUUUAUUGUAAGAUGCCCAGAGACCUCUGAUCAUAGGGUAUCAUAGAAAUAUCAUUAAUGACAAUCUCGUUUUUCAUUGAUAAGCAUCCAUGUUAUGUACAUAGGCAGUCUUUCAUUUAAACACUGACCAGAUGCAGAAGAGUUUCACUUCAGCAGCGUUGAUGCAACCUGUGUCUUCAGACCAUCGUCUGGUUAUGAUUAUUUAGAUGUCACAGUGUCCAAAUAUAAUUUUCUAGGAUUCCACUACAUUCCAGUUAAGGAUAUUUGGUUCAGUUCAGUGCCUUUAUAUGAAAAUGAACAUGGUCAGACUGGGGAGAGAAUAACAAUCGUUGAACACAAACAAAAUUAUAUCUGAGUAAAUAUGAAUAGGAUUGUACUAUAGAGUAUGUAUCAUUUUUUCCAGAUCUGAGCAUUGCAUCAAUUGUAGGUGUAUGAGCUUAGAUAAGGUGAUACUGAAACUUUAGAGGAGAACGCUACAAUUCUAAGAUCCUUAAUUGGCAGUUUUGGUAACCAGGUGGUUGAUUAUUAUUUUUUUUGAAAUUUAACAGGGAGAGAGGGCAGCCCACCAAUAAAAUCCGGCCCUGGUGGAGUUCUUCAUGUCAGCCGUGUAGCAUGAGCCCCUCCGUUAGCACCUCUUCAAAUCAACCUACCCAGUUGAAGUUAAGAGAUUAUUUUUCAUGUCUUCCUGCUACACAGGACUUGUGUAUGUGAGAUGGCUGCUUAGGACAUGACAUGGGAGAGGGGGAGUCCAUAGCACAGUAUCCUAAUCAUGGGGAUGGUGGACCACUUUCCUUUCCUUUAAUCAGAAAACAUAAAUAAAAUUGUUCCAGGCUUCUCCAUGGAAUCUUCUUCUUUAAUAAUUUUUCACCAUUCUCCCCUUACCAGUUUGUGCGCUGCUAUCAAAAAGUAAGAAGGCAAUACAACUUUUAUAGUGCAUUUUUAUAGGUGAAUCAGGGAUUCUAAUCUAUUUUAAGCUGUAAUCACUAACCUGG